CGAAAGGGGCGGUAAUACCAGAUAAUGUCCUUCGGGACCAAAGAUUUAUCGGCAUUGGAGCGGCCUAUCUCCUAUCAGCUUGUUGGUGAGGUAACGGCUCACCAAGGCAACGACGGGUAGCGGGACUGAGAGGUUGGCCCGCCACAUCGGGACUGAGACACUGCCCGGACCUCCACGGAGGGCUGCAGUAACGGAUAUUGGGCAAUGGGCGAAAGCCUGACCCAGCAAUGCCGCGUGCAGGAUGAAGCCCCUAGGGGUGUAAACUGCUGUCAGGGGUCAGAAAGCUGGUUUCGGCCAGUUGAUCAACCCCAGAGGAAGUCACGGCUAACUUCGUGCCAGCAGCCGCGGUAAUACGAAGGUGGCAAGCGUUAUUCGGAAUCAUUGGGCUUAAAGGGCACGCAGGCGGAACAGUGUGUGUUGUGUGAAAUCCCCCGGCUUAACCGGGGAAUUGCACAGCAAACUGCUGUUCUUGAGGCAGGUAGGGGUGCAUGGAACUCUUGGUGGAGCGGUGGAAUGCGUAGAUAUCAAGAGGAACGCCAGAGGUGAAGACGGUGCACUGGGCCUGUCCUGACGCUGAGGUGCGAAAGCGUGGGGAGCGAACGGGAUUAGAUACCCCGGUAGUCCACGCCGUAAACGAUGUCUACUAGGUCGUGGGUGUUCUGACACAUUCACGGCCGGAGCAAAAGUGUUUAGUAGACCGCCUGGGGAGUACGGCCGCAAGGUUAAAACUCAAAUGAAUUGACGGGGGCUCACACAAGCGGUGGAGCAUGUGGAUUAAUUCGAAGCAACGCGCAGAACCUUACCUGGGUUUGACAUGCUUGUAUGCCUUCUCUGAAAGGAGUUAGGCUGCCUUCGGGUGAAACUUGCACAGGUGCUGCAUGGCUGUCGUCAGCUCGUGUCGUGAGAUGUCGGGUUAAGUCCUUUAACGAGCGAAACCCUUGCCGUUAGUUGCCAGCGAGUAAUGUCGGGGACUCUAACGGGACUGCCGGUGUUAAACCGGAGGAAGGUGGGGAUGACGUCAAGUCCUCAUGGCCUUUAUGCCCAGGGCUUCACACGUGCUACAAUGGCAAUUACAGAGCGACGCGAUACCGCGAGGUGGAGCAAAUCGCAAAAAAAUUGCCUCAGUUCGGAUUGCAGGCUGGCAAUUCGCCUGCAUGAAGUCGGAAUCGCUAGUA
rnacentral:rRNA from 1 species